UGUCAUUAUCCGGGUUGCCCUGAACCCUUUUUUAUGCGUGUACAGUAAAGUUAUCUUACAGCUGCAGAACUGCCAUUUUCAGAGGAGGUUUCCAGAGCUCAUGUAUUCCAUCUCCCGUCUCCAACAGGAAAGACACAGGAUCUUGCCUCCAUCUUGCCCUUCUUCUCCACAAGAGCCCCAGACCCAGGAGAUGGCUGCAUUGACACUUUGGGGAGUACAAGGGACAAAUGUCAACACUGCUUCAAUGUGACUCCAGGGGAUCUACACCUUCUCUGGAAACUUUCAGAAUCGUCAUUUUUGUUUUUGGUUUCUUGGAACACACAUUUAUUUUCUUUUGAGCCUUCAUGGCAUGACACCAAAGGAAUGAAAAUUGGUACAAACUUCAACAAUGAAGAGAAUGUGAAGAAGGUCUGCAGAGGAUAAACGAUGGUGUGAUAUGUGGAUUACAGGAAGCAGGAGGAGGACUGAGGGCAGAUGAAGUGAGGUACACAGAGGAAGGUGCUGUGAAGACAGACACUCUGCAGGCAGUUGUCCAGGGCUAUUUUUCUUGAAGAAUUCUAGAAGGGCUCAGUACUAAGAACUAUAGAUUUGAUGGUGGACAAGCAGGAGAUACAGUGGAAACCCCCUUACUUCUUCACCCAGAGGUCAUGGCGGAAGGAUUGUUCCUCUCUAAAGAAAUUGAACAAGCUGCUCUUACUAGUAGUGUGGGAGCUAAUGCCACAUCUGGGUCUAUUUCUACUUAGCCUGAAAUGGAGCCCAAUAGUCAACCAUGCCUGCUGGUGUACACUGAAUUAAUGGUCAGUUUUGCCAGUCCCCUCAGUGAGUAGGUAUUUGAGAGAAUUAUGAUAUAUGAAAAAGAAACACUGCGAAAUAGAGAAAUGACCAAAAGGAAUACAAGAGAUAAUUCUGGGUAAAUACGGAGCUUGAAUAAAGUGAAUUUGUAUCCUCUAGAGAUAUUUAUAAAGACUCUACAUAAAUUAAAUAAGAAGAAAAAUCUAAUUAAAAAGUUGGAGGAUAAAAGUAGAGGAAAAAUAAAAGAAAAAGAUAUAUAUGAAAUGAUCAAUAAAAAUAUAACACUUAGAAUAAUCCAGGAUGGCCCAGUAGCUCAAUUGGUUAAAGGUUGUGGGUUUGAUCCCCAGUCAGGGCAAGAAGCAACAAAUGAAUGCAUAAAGUGACUUUCCACUAGGAUUGUAUAACUAGCAAAAGUAAUUGUGAAUUUUAAAGGCAGAAGAAAAGACAUUUGCAGACAGGUGCGAUGCUUACUUCUAUACGUUUAAAAAAUAAUUAACACAUUUUUUCAAUUAUAGUUGACAUACAAUAUUAUAUUAGUUUCAGGUCUACACAUCUUUUUAAGAAGGUCAUUUGAGAACACACUCCUGCAAGAUGAGGGUGUAAAAAGCAAACUAGAGGGAGAUGUAGGAUCUGGAGGCAGUAUCUCCAACCUCGAACAGUAGUGAAGAGAGAUACAGUUUUGCUGCAGGUCUAGUGAGAGACCAGUACAGAUUUUACAGCUGAAGAAAACACUAAUUUGUAUCCUCCACCAUCUAUGAAGACAUCAUAAGCACAGAAAAGUUAGUUCAAUGGACUGAGAUCACACAGUAGUAAGUAGCAAGUUAGCCAUCAGGACACAGCCAGGCUGACUUCCCAGCCUGAACUCUUACUCCUUAUCAUAUGUUGUUUUUUUUCUUGUAACUUAUCUUAAAGUGAAAUGUUUCCACUGGGAAAAUGAAAACAGCAGUACGUUCCAUGUGUGCAAAGCACUCAUUAAUUAGAGUCAGGAUGCAAAAAAAAGGCUAUGUAAAAUUGCUAAAUUAACAAAUAACUUUAGAGAAAUCAAGAAAUAGUUCCUAGAGAAAUGAAGGUAACCACCAGGAGAGAAAAUUUAGACUGAAAGGUGAUUUAGUUGAGGGAGAGGGCAUGGGCAGGAGGAAGAGGAAGGCAAGAGAUGGCUUCUUUGCAUGUUAAGUCUUCCUCACCUUUUAAAAAAUUAAAUUAUGUGAAGGUAUUACUUUGAAAAAAUUGUAAUGCUAUUUCUGUGUACUUUUAAAAUGGAAAAUAGGGCUUAUUUGGAAGAUAAACCACAUGAGCAAUUAUAACAAUAUGCAAAGGCAUGGAAGGGAAAAAGUUCAUGGCUUGGUGGAGAACAGUAUGGUUUAGAUGACUUGACCAUAGGGUGGUUGGGGGUUGGUAGGAGUCACUGUAGAUGACUCUGAAACAGUGGACCAGGACAAGGCUGUGGAAAGCAUCAAAUGCCAUGCUAAGAAAUUUGGAAUUUUCUUUGUUGGCCAUGGGACACUAUGAAAGAUUUUGAGCAGCGUGGUUCCAUCUGUGGUUUAGAAGGCUCAUCCCUAUGGCAGUUUGGAGCAAGGUUGAAAGUGUGGGAAUGACAGGACACAGGAAGGCCAGAGCAGAGGCAGUUCAACAAUUUAAGAGACUCUUACAGGCCUGAAUUAAGGCUUUCAACCUAUAAGGAAACUGAAGUUCCAGAAGUGUGGCUGUAAUAAAAAAAUCUU